GCCGGGUGUGGUGGCUCACACCUGUAAUCCUAGCACUUUGGGAGGCCGAGGUGGGCGGAUCACCUGAGGUCAGGAGUUCGAGACCAGCCUGGCCAACAUGGCGAAACCCCAUCUCUA
rnacentral:sRNA from 1 species